GAUAAUAUAAGCCAAAUUCCUUAUUGACUUCAUCUUUACCUGACAGAAGUGCCAUCCACAUCCUAUUACAGACUUUAUUCAUCUCCUCGACAUCCUAAAGGCUUUCACUUUUGCCCUCCCAUGGAUCAGCCAGGGCAGCAAGGACCUCCAGGGAGGAGAGCAGGGCCCAAUGAAAGACGUCCUUUGCAGGAAGACAGACUUCCCUGCUCCCCAAUGGUUGGAGGAUCCUGGAAGACUGGCGAACCAGGAGGCCUCACCAGAGCAGGCUUUGCCACAACAACCCAAUCAGCCAGGGGAGCAAGGACCUCCAGGGAGGAGAGCAGGGCCCAAUGAAAGACGUCCUUUGCAGGAAGACAUAGACUUCCCUGCUCCCCAAUGGUUGGAGGAUCCUGGAAGACUGGUGAACCAGAAGGCCUCACCGGAGCAGGCUUUGCCACAACAACCCAACCAGGUCUCUGCCAAAGAAAAAUUUCGCUAUAAAGCAUCCCUGCCUACCUUAAACAUCUCGUAUUGUUUAACUGUACCUUGUACCUUCUCUCUCUUGCCUAUUAUUUAUGUUUUGUCUUCUGUGCAAAUUUCUCCCCUGUCAUCUCCCCAGCAGCCACCUGGAGGCACUGGAAGACAGGAGAACUAGAGAACAGCAUUCCCCAUGAUUGUCACUCCAGGUCUCUGUCAAACAGCAAUUUUCACUAUAAAGUUUUCUGACUUACUUCGUCUAAAUUUGGCAUGCAAAUUUAAAAUGUUUAGUUCAUUGAACAUCUCUGGUAUCACUUAACUAUACCUUCUGUAACUUUUGUUUCUUGUCUUGUUUUGUCUUCUCUUUAACGUUUUUGCAGGAGGACAUGGACUUUCAUCUUUUUUCAUGGCUGGAGAGUGUAGCAGUCCAUAGAAGGUGGAGAGCAGCUGGAAAGCAUCACUAUUCCACGAUCAUACAAAGCAUUUUCUCUGGGAAAUUAUGAAUUUCUGUUUAAAAGAUUAAUAAAACUACUGUCUGAAACAACA
ensembl:lncRNA